UAGGGAGUCUUCCGCAAUGGACGAAAGUCUGACGGAGCAACGCCGCGUGAGUGAUGAAGGUUUUCGGAUCGUAAAGCUCUGUUGUUAGGGAAGAACAAGUACCGUUCGAAUAGGGCGGUACCUUGACGGUACCUAACCAGAAAGCCACGGCUAACUACGUGCCAGCAGCCGCGGUAAUACGUAGGUGGCAAGCGUUGUCCGGAAUUAUUGGGCGUAAAGGGCUCGCAGGCGGUUUCUUAAGUCUGAUGUGAAAGCCCCCGGCUCAACCGGGGAGGGUCAUUGGAAACUGGGGAACUUGAGUGCAGAAGAGGAGAGUGGAAUUCCCGGUGUAGCAGUGAAAUGCGUAGAGAUCGGGAGGAACAUCUGUGGCGAAGGCGACUACCUGGACCAGCACUGACACUGAGGCACGAAAGCGUGGGGAGCAAACA
rnacentral:rRNA from 1 species